rnacentral:rRNA from 1 species
GACGAACGCUGGCGGCGUGCCUAAUACAUGCAAGUUGAGCGCUGAAGGUUGGAACUUGUACCGACUGGAUGAGCAGCGAACGGGUGAGUAACGCGUGGGGAAUCUGCCUUUGAGCGGGGGACAACAUUUGGAAACGAAUGCUAAUACCGCAUAAAAACUUUAAACACAAGUUUUAAGUUUGAAAGAUGCAUUUGCAUCACUCAAAGAUGAUCCCGCGUUGUAUUAGCUAGUUGGUGAGGUAAAGGCCCACCAAGGCGAUGAUACAUAGCCGACCUGGGAGGGGGAUCGGCCACAUUGGGACUGGGACACGGCCCAAACUCCUACGGGAGGGAGCAGUAGGGAAUCUUCGGCAAAGGACGGAAGUCUGACCGAGCAACGCCGCGUGAGUGAAGAAGGUUUUCGGAUCGUAAAACUCUGUUGGUAGAGAAGAACGUUGGUGAGAGUGGAAAGCUCAUCAAGUGACGGUAACUACCCAGAAAGGGACGGCUAACUACGUG